rnacentral:rRNA from 1 species
GGUCAAGUGAAGAAGCGCAUACGGUGGAUGCCUUGGCAGUCAGAGGCGAUGAAAGACGUGGUAGCCUGCGAAAAGCUUCGGGGAGUCGGCAAACAGACUUUGAUCCGGAGAUGUCUGAAUGGGGGAACCCAGCCAUCAUAAGAUGGUUAUCUUGUACUGAAUACAUAGGUGCAAGAGGCGAACCAGGGGAACUGAAACAUCUAAGUACCCUGAGGAAAAGAAAUCAACCGAGAUUCCCUUAGUAGUGGCGAGCGAACGGGGACUAGCCCUUAAGUGGCUUUGAGAUUAGCGGAACGCUCUGGAAAGUGCGGCCAUAGUGGGUGAUAGCCCUGUACGCGAAAAUCUCUUAGUCAUGAAAUCGAGUAGGACGGAGCACGAGAAACUUUGUCUGAAUAUGGGGGGACCAUCCUCCAAGGCUAAAUACUACUGACUGACCGAUAGUGAACUAGUACCGUGAGGGAAAGGCGAAAAGAACCCCGGAGAGGGGAGUGAAAUAGAUCCUGAAACCGUAUGCGUACAAGCAGUGGGAGCAGACUUUGUUCUGUGACUGCGUACCUUUUGUAUAAUGGGUCAGCGACUUAUUUUCAGUGGCGAGCUUAACCGAAUAGGGGAGGCGUAGCGAAAGCGAGUCUUAAUAGGGCGUCUAGUCGCUGGGAAUAGACCCGAAACCGGGCGAUCUAUCCAUGGGCAGGUUGAAGGUUGGGUAACACUAACUGGAGGACCGAACCGACUACCGUUGAAAAGUUAGCGGAUGACCUGUGGAUCGGAGUGAAAGGCUAAUCAAGCUCGGAGAUAGCUGGUUCUCCUCGAAAGCUAUUUAGGUAGCGCCUCAUGUAUCACUGUAGGGGGUAGAGCACUGUUUCGGCUAGGGGGUCAUCCCGACUUACCAAACCGAUGCAAACUCCGAAUACCUACAAGUGCCGAGCAUGGGAGACACACGGCGGGUGCUAACGUCCGUCGUGAAAAGGGAAACAACCCAGACCGUCAGCUAAGGUCCCAAAGUUAUGGUUAAGUGGGAAACGAUGUGGGAAGGCUUAGACAGCUAGGAGGUUGGCUUAGAAGCAGCCACCCUUUAAAGAAAGCGUAAUAGCUCACUAGUCGAGUCGGCCUGCGCGGAAGAUGUAACGGGGCUCAAACCAUACACCGAAGCUACGGGUAUCACGUAAGUGAUGCGGUAGAGGAGCGUUCUGUAAGCCUGUGAAGGUGAGUUGAGAAGCUUGCUGGAGGUAUCAGAAGUGCGAAUGCUGACAUGAGUAACGACAAUGGGUGUGAAAAACACCCACGCCGAAAGACCAAGGUUUCCUGCGCAACGUUAAUCGACGCAGGGUUAGUCGGUCCCUAAGGCGAGGCUGAAAAGCGUAGUCGAUGGAAAACAGGUUAAUAUUCCUGUACUUCUGGUUAUUGCGAUGGAGGGACGGAGAAGGCUAGGCCAGCUUGGCGUUGGUUGUCCAAGUUUAAGGUGGUAGGCUGGAAUCUUAGGUAAAUCCGGGAUUCUAAGGCCGAGAGCUGAUGACGAGUCAUCUUUUAGAUGACGAAGUGGUUGAUGCCAUGCUUCCAAGAAAAGCUUCUAAGCUUCAGGUAACCAGGAACCGUACCCCAAACCGACACAGGGUGGUUGGGUAGAGAAUACCAAGGCGCUUGAGAGAACUCGGGUGAAGGAACUAGGCAAAAUGGCACCGUAACUUCGGGAGAAGGUGCGCCGGUGAGGGUGAAGGACUUGCUCCGUAAGCCCAUGCCGGUCGAAGAUACCAGGCCGCUGCGACUGUUUAUUAAAAACACAGCACUCUGCAAACACGAAAGUGGACGUAUAGGGUGUGACGCCUGCCCGGUGCCGGAAGGUUAAUUGAUGGGGUUAGCUAACGCGAAGCUCUUGAUCGAAGCCCCGGUAAACGGCGGCCGUAACUAUAACGGUCCUAAGGUAGCGAAAUUCCUUGUCGGGUAAGUUCCGACCUGCACGAAUGGCGUAACGAUGGCGGCGCUGUCUCCACCCGAGACUCAGUGAAAUUGAAAUCGCUGUGAAGAUGCAGUGUAUCCGCGGCUAGACGGAAAGACCCCGUGAACCUUUACUAUAGCUUUGCACUGGACUUUGAAUUUGCUUGUGUAGGAUAGGUGGGAGGCUUUGAAGCGUGGACGCCAGUCUGCGUGGAGCCAUCCUUGAAAUACCACCCUGGCAACUUUGAGGUUCUAACUCAGGUCCGUUAUCCGGAUCGAGGACAGUGUAUGGUGGGUAGUUUGACUGGGGCGGUCUCCUCCUAAAGAGUAACGGAGGAGUACGAAGGUGCGCUCAGACCGGUCGGAAAUCGGUCGUAGAGUAUAAAGGCAAAAGCGCGCUUGACUGCGAGACAGACACGUCGAGCAGGUACGAAAGUAGGUCUUAGUGAUCCGGUGGUUCUGUAUGGAAGGGCCAUCGCUCAACGGAUAAAAGGUACUCCGGGGAUAACAGGCUGAUACCGCCCAAGAGUUCAUAUCGACGGCGGUGUUUGGCACCUCGAUGUCGGCUCAUCACAUCCUGGGGCUGAAGCCGGUCCCAAGGGUAUGGCUGUUCGCCAUUUAAAGUGGUACGCGAGCUGGGUUUAGAACGUCGUGAGACAGUUCGGUCCCUAUCUGCCGUGGACGUUUGAGAUUUGAGAGGGGCUGCUCCUAGUACGAGAGGACCGGAGUGGACGAACCUCUGGUGUUCCGGUUGUCACGCCAGUGGCAUUGCCGGGUAGCUAUGUUCGGAAUAGAUAACCGCUGAAAGCAUCUAAGCGGGAAACUAGCCUCAAGAUGAGAUCUCACUGGAACCUUGAGUUCCCUGAAGGGCCGUCGAAGACUACGACGUUGAUAGGUUGGGUGUGUAAGCGCUGUGAGGCGUUGAGCUAACCAAUACUAAUUGCCCGUGAGGCUUGACCAU